ACGUUGACUCAAACCGAUUUGGACUAAUUCCUGGCUACUGAAAAUUUCUGGUUCCAACAUGGCGGCAUCUGUGUCGUGAAAAAAAUGGCAACUAAGUUGACGAAAGGCUUUGAUGAUGACAUAUUAGGCAAAAAUGGACUCCCAGUUCAAAUCGGGUCACAUUCCCACUGGGAUUGUCUGUACGCAGGGGGAGAGGAGACUUUGACACACCCAUUUCAAGGGAACUUCUUUUAUUCUAACUGGAACUGACUGGACAGAAGCAGGAGUGAUGUCUACUGUCGGUGAUAUCCGGAAGACAUGCCAACAGAACGGUGCAUGUGAGAAUUAUGCAGAGCUGUUGGGAAGUUUUGAGUCACUUUCAAGAACACCACAGAUAUGACAUUGGCAUUCAAAGUCGGUUAUGUGACAAGUGGCCAAACUGGAAAGAUUGGAGGAUCAGGACUUUGUCUUCACUGGAAGCGAUUCAUGAGUUCUGCAGAAGUGAAGCCUUGGGGCAGAAAGUAAAAAAAAAAAAAACCUGGGGGAGCAAUAAAAGUCCUCAAAGAAUUUCUGCGUUGGAGCUUUUGAACUGAAGAGGAGAAGAGCACAACAUUCUGGAUGACAUUUUUUUUUUAAAACAAACUACAAGUCAAACUGACUCUGAGAUGCAAAGAUCUGCAGAGGAGGAAAGGAAGCAAACAACAAUGCAUAAAGUACAGUGUGUCGAAACAUGCAGUAAUCUAAAUAUUAGCUUUUGUUUAUUGCAAGUUGAAAAGAAAAAGGUGUGCAAAUUCAUGCACACACUUGAAAAUCUCUAUUGGAUAAACAGAGUGCAAUAAAGUUAAAACAUGACUAUCAAGUAGAAUAAAAAACAGCAAAAAAGGGUUUUAUAGUAAAAAAAAAAAAAAAG